CUCCCCGAACGGUGGCUAUGCUCCUACCAGCCUUGGAUGCUCCGUUUGAGAGCCAUCUUUCUGGUGUCAAAAUAGUUUUUGAUCAGAUCCUCCGAUUUAAUCAAAGGCGCGAACAUCGGAACAACUUUUCCUACUGGCAGGGUAUCAGGGGCCCCACCCCCACUAAUCCCUGGAGGCCCUGCGAAAUCUGCAUGUCCCCAGAGGUCUAUCCUUUUGUGAAUAACCCUCCUUUUUUAAGUGGGACCGCCCUGACGUCGCUUCGGCCGGAGACACGCCCCAGUGGCCCCCCACGGAUUUUUGGCUAGAUGGGGGAUCGAACCCAUGAGGACUUACCUCCUCAGCAUACGCCCAAACCAUCUGAGCCCCCGCUUCGGGUUAUAAAUCCAUUGGACUUAAAAUCAAGGCUUGUAUUAUUUUCUAAUGAUUUAAUUAAUUAAAUAAUUAUUUAAAUCCUUUAUCAAAUUAAUAAUUUAUAAUUUGAACCU